GAUGAAGAACGCAGCGAAAUGCGAUAAGUAAUGUGAAUUGCAGAAUUCAGUGAAUCAUCGAAUCUUUGAACGCACAUUGCGCCCUUUGGUAUUCCAAAGGGCAUGCCUGUUCGAGCGUCAUUUGUACCCUCAAGCUUUGCUUGGUGUUGGGCGUCUUGUCUCUAGCUUUGCUGGAGACUCGCCUUAAAGUAAUUGGCAGCCGGCCUACUGGUUUCGGAGCGCAGCACAAGUCGCACUCUCUAUCAGCAAAGGUCUAGCAUCCACUAAGCCUUUUUUUCAACUUUUGACCUCGGAUCAGGUAGGGAUACCCGCUGAACUUAAGCAUAUCAAUAAGCGGAGGA
rnacentral:misc_RNA from 1 species